GGUGAGCGGCAGACGGGUGAGUAACACGUGGGAACGUACCCUUCGGUUCGGAAUAACUCAGGGAAACUUGAGCUAAUACCGGAUACGUCCGAGAGGAGAAAGAUUUAUUGCCGAAGGAUCGGCCCGCGUCUGAUUAGCUAGUUGGUGAGGUAACGGCUCACCAAGGCGACGAUCAGUAGCUGGUCUGAGAGGAUGAUCAGCCACAUUGGGACUGAGACACGGCCCAAACUCCUACGGGAGGCAGCAGUGGGGAAUAUUGGACAAUGGGCGCAAGCCUGAUCCAGCCAUGCCGCGUGAGUGAUGAAGGCCUUAGGGUUGUAAAGCUCUUUUACCUGGGAAGAUAAUGACGGUACCAGGAGAAUAAGCCCCGGCUAACUUCGUGCCAGCAGCCGCGGUAAUACGAAGGGGGCUAGCGUUGUUCGGAUUUACUGGGCGUAAAGCGCACGUAGGCGGAUCUUUAAGUCAGAGGUGAAAUCCCAAGGCUCAACCUUGGAACUGCCUUUGAUA
rnacentral:rRNA from 1 species